UCCCUUCCACAUCGUUCUUCAACUGAGUUCCGAGUGUGCAUUUCCAUGGACAAGUUCGAACCUGUAAUGGGUCUUGAUUAGUGAGCCACUCUGUGGUGUUUGGCAACAAUCCUACUAAAAAAAUUCUUCCCGAGAAAAGUGUGCAUAAAACUUUAAACAUAUACAGUUAUAUAUAAUUUUGAUCGGCAAAAGAAAAAAUGAGGUAGCUGCUUCUUCUAACUGAGGAAACCGAAAAGCACCAUGUAUCUACCAUCCUCCUGAAGUGAAAAUGGGAGAACACCAUUAGAUUCAUCUCUCCCUGGUUGUAAUCCUGCCCCAUUCUUUUCUCCGGUUUUAGAUGGUCUCUCCCAGUGGCUCAUUUCUCUGGAUUCAGGUUUUGGUUUCUUCUCCUGAGGAUGGAACUCCCCUAGUCCUCCACCAGACAGGAACUCUCAGAAUCUUCUCGUCAAGAAAAUGUGACUCUGCAUCCAUACGCCGGUUUAGGAACCUUGUUCUUCGUAGAUUCAAUCAUCUCCUUCAAGUGAGCUGCAGGGCGAUCAUGCGCGAUCGCAGAGAAAAAAAUGGUCAGCAUGUAGAAGAGAUUCUCUUAGGCAGAGCUGGAAAAACUAUAAUUAUAAUGAUGAC
rnacentral:lncRNA from 1 species